UCGAGGAUCUUCCACAAUGGGCGAAAGCCUGAUGGAGCGACGCCGCGUGAGGGAUGAAGGCCCUUUGGGUUGUAAACCUCUGUUAGGGGAGAAGAACAGCGGGGGGAGCAACAUGCCCUCCGCCUGACGUUAUCCCCAGAGAAAGCUCCGGCCAACUCCGUGCCAGCAGCCGCGGUAAUACGGGGGGAGCGAGCGUUGUCCGGAAUCAUUGGGCGUAAAGGGCGUGUAGGCGGCUCGGCAAGUCGAAUGUGAAAUCCCACGGCUCAACCGUGGAACUGCGUUCGAAACUGCCCUGCUUGAGUGCGGGAGAGGUGUGCGGAAUUCCUGGUGUAGCGGUGGAAUGCGUAGAUAUCAGGAAGAACACCGGUGGCGAAGGCGGCACACUGGCCUAGCACUGACGCUGAGGCGCGAAAGCGUGGGGAGCGAACGG
rnacentral:rRNA from 1 species